ACAUUUAAAUUAUCUUAUUUAAUUCUGGAUAAUAAAAUUCAAGAGUAAUAUUGAUAAACAUUGGUGCAUGGAGAGGAUUCCCUUAGUUAUUGGAUGAAAAUAAAACCUUGCCAUAUGAGCAGUUUAACAAAGUUCGCAUUUUAUACUUCAAGAACAUGAGAAUCAGGGAGACAACAUAGCUGUCUCAAGCAUCCGAAAAACCAACAAUGUAGCGGAAGAAAAACACGGAUUCUGUGUGGCCCAGCAAGGCACGUGAAAACCGAAGGAUAGAAAUUACAGUGGAGAAAGAGAGGAAUGCUGGGAACACCCUCGGCGGAAGAAUGCGGGGAACGCUCGUCCGAGAGAGGCAUUCUGGGAACACAGAGAAACAAGACCGGAGCGUGCUGCCAGGGAGGAAUCCUGGGAAUAUGAUUUAAAAGAGGGGGACGCCCGGAACCUACGUCCGAGGAAGAGGCGGAUGCCUCAACGCUGCAUCAGAGAGGGAAACCAAAAACCUUCUUUCAGAGACAGACGUGGGGUGGGGGUAGGGUGGAUUCCGGAACACUCCCACAGGGAUGCCGGGAACCUCCGUCAGAGAGAGGGGGAUUCUGGGAACAGCCUCAGAGGAACAGAUGCCAGCCACACCCAUCAGCGCGUUCUGGGAGCAGGUCGUCAGAAAUGCUGGGAACACCUCUCUGGGAGAGGCAUGCUGGGAUCACGUCGUCCGAGUGAAGAAGGCCGGAAAUGUGAGGUCCAGUCUCAUGAACUCCGCAGUGAAUUCCUUUCCAUGGGACAGUCUCCUUAGAGCCCAUGUGUUCAUGCCAGCAAAAGGAGAUCAGGGAGACCUACAAACUUCUACUCCCGCAUGAAGAAAAACAAUUGCAAUAUAUGAAAGAGAGACCACAUGAAGCCUUUUUGGACAAAUGAGAAGCAGAAAAAUCACUGAAAAACUGACUUAAACACAGUUAUCUUAGGAACUGGAGCAGAGCCAAUCUUUACUUGGAUGCAUUGGUGAAAAAAACUAGAGGGUCAGAUAUUGAAACCAGACACACCAUGAUGAACUGGACUUAACCACGACAUUUGCUUAUAUCCUGUGAUGCCAAUGCAUUUGUAUACCACAACUCAAGCACACUGCUCUCCAAUUUCCUCAAGAUACUGAGAACAUAUGAUAAGCACCCCAAGACAAGUGAAGAAUAACAUCAGGGUGUAUUUUUCUCUGUUCUGUUUGUAUUUUUAAGGAAGACAGCAGAGAAAAGGUAAAGACUGACUGAAGAAUGUAAUGGUAAAGUUUUAGACUGCAUGGCAUAUUGCUGAAAAGAGUCCUUCAAAAUGCCCCUGAAAUGACCCCACAAAGGUACCUAGCUCCUCUUAUUUUAUAUAAAAUGGAACUAAUAGAAACUGAGGAUGUAUUAUGAAUAAUGAGGCUGAAUUUUAAUAAAAACAAUGUCUUUACUAAUCUAAAUGUUCAUUCCAUCAAAAUGAAAAGAAUGUUAAUCUAAGUGCUAUUCUCCUGACACUUAGAAGCCUUGAUUCAUUCUAUUAAGAUUCUUCUCCACUCUUGCAGUGCCCUAAGAUAAUAGAGAAGCUGUGUUUAUUUUUUGAACAAAUAGGUAAUUUUUCUGGACGCAGUCUGUAUAGGAAAUGUUCCAAAAUAUUUAUGAAACAGAAGGAAAAUUCCCAGUACAAUAGAGCAUCCACAUAGUCUACAAUUGUACAAUUUAGGCUCUUGACUAGUAAAAUACUUUUCUCAGUUCAGUAAAAAUAGUUAUUGAUUAAGAAUCGUAUGCAUACUAUUUUGCUGGGUUCUGAGCAGUAUACUUUCCAUCUUCAAAGAACAUCAACUCUAUCUGAGGGAAAUAGACAUUAUAAUAGAAUCAGCUAAAUUAUCAUAUAAACAGGGUAAGAAUAAAUGUUAUACAUUAUUAGUUGUGCACAGAAACAACCUAAUAUUUUCAGGACCUAGAACAAUCAUGUAAAUGAAGACCCAUGUAUCAUGUAUCUAAAUAUUUAGAAGUUUUAAGCAUUUAUAAGAGACUGAAAGGCUGAGUUUGAGUUUAGGAUUCUCAGAGUUCCUGUUGUUGUGCUGGAAUACUAGUCUCAGAGAGAGCCCACACCAGCCCAUCUUUAAUAGCAGCCUGCUCCUUUUCCUGUGCACCUCUGGCCCUGGACUGUGCUGCAAGUGAUACGUCUCCUGCAGGCAUGGGGUUACCUCGUCCACAUGUCCGGGAAUGUAAGAAGAUACCAGCUUCCUAGCUGAACCAGAUGGUGAACUGGGCCCCAGAUUUGAAUAGCACUUGAGAUUUGCUGGGAAGAGGUAAAGUCCAUUGUAAACAGGACAAAAAAUAAUCAAACCCCUGGGGAAAGAAAUUAUAUUAGAUGUUGGAGUUGUAGGUGCUGGGUUUGUUUGUUUGUUUUUUGUUUGUUUGUUUGUUUUUCAUUGACGGUACUUACAAGAGCAGGGAGUUCAUAUUAGGAAAGAGUAGCAAUUAAGAUGAAAAUGUUUCUUCAAUGAUUCUGCCUAUAACUGCAGAAUUAUGUUAAAAACUUACUGGGAUUAGCAUCAAGAUGUGUCACAGUCUAAUUCUAGACUAUAUUUUCAUCCUCAUUGCUCAUCCUAUUAUUUUUUCAUACCCCACUCUGAACAAAGAAUGUGACAUUUGACUUGACAAUGAAAUUUAACACUUAAAUCUAGAAAAGCAUAGUUAUGUAUGAUCAGUAAACCUUUAUGUUCCAUAUGUACCUAUCACAUCGGGCUUCCCAUUCCUCACUCAUGCAAAUUUUGGCCUCCACGUUUUAAGUUAUGAUUUUUUUUUCAGGUCAAAUAUACACACUUCUGUGCUAUAUAGAAAACUUUCCCAAACCUUUACAGUUUAUCUCAAAUAUUGACCAAUCAUGGAAACUUUUAUACUUGCCUUGGAAGAAUAAUGGAUCCUGUUGUAUAGUCUCAGAGAAGUGUGUUUGUAUCAUAUCACAUAUUUGUAUACAAGUUAUAACUAUUGGAAAGUAAAUACAACAUGAUAAUGUCUUAUUUGCAUUUACCAAGGUACCUGUCAUCGUUCCUGAUAGAUUGCAAAUAUUCAGUUAAGAAUGGGUUGAUAAGUAAGUAUAAAUAACUUUUUAAUUUAAUGUUGGUACAAUAGGUAAUGGGCAUGGGCAGUCAAGUAAAUAAGUCUCCUGGAAUACAAAAAGGUCAUAGGGUACUUGCUUCUGAAUCAAAUUUCUUAAAAUACAAAGAAAAUAUUUCACCUUGGCCAAAGAUGGCAAAAUUUUCCUUAUCCUAAGAACUUGGCCUUAGUAUAGUUUGUUUUGAAGGGAUUCCUAUUGGAGUUUAUGGUGCUUUCUCUAGCUUAAGUCCCAUUUGUCUCUAGAUCCCACCUUAUUUAAGGAAAACCACCAACAAACUGAAAUUCUUCCUGUCACUUUAUUACAAACUUCAUGGAGCUUCAGCCCUGACAGCAAACAUCAACAAGCUCCAUGAAGUGAUUGACACUGCCCGUCAAUCAUAGCUUGGGUACAAAGUGAAAGGGAGGUGGUUCUUUAUGGUGGAUGUAUGAGAGGGAAAACAUAGUUAUCUCAGGUAAGUUUAUCUGUAAAUGCCAGUCCUUAAUACUGUGAACGUAAAUGACUUCCACCCGUUAUUCACUUUUCUUUCUUCUGAAUGUUAGUUUGCUCCAUCGAAGAUAACAAAAUAUUAAGUGGUACAACUAGGUUUUAGACCAGAAGGUAAUCAUCCUGAAUAAUACUUUUGGAAUGAUUGUGUUUAAUAUGGUGGGAUUAUUUUAGGGUUAAUUGGGCCUUUGUUUCUGAAUUGCUUAUGAAAAUUCAGUAUAGGUGUGAAAUACCACAGUGUAGCAAUUUGUAUUUCCAACUAUUAGUUUUCAUUGAGUUUUUCCAAACUUCUAUUUUUUGAUAAUAAGAGAAUUGCCUUUUGUGCAUUUAUAUUACUUUUCUCUCUUUUCCUUUGGCUUGGAUUACGAUGUUCAAAAAGUAGUUAAGUUUCCUUACUAUUAGUCUCUAAAAUUUUUAAGAAACAAACUGGGAAUUCAGUCUGAUAAUCCAGUACAAAUUGUGUCCCUAUACCACACACACACCAAAAAAAUCCCAUAGCUUAAAGAUUCACUGAAUAGACAUUUGGAUUGGCAAAUCAGGGAGUGUCUGUGUGUAAAGUGGAUGUGUUUUUUACAUUUUACUCUUAAACCAGAUUUCUAGCAUCAUGGAAAUAAGAUGUAUGAGACAUAAAAGAGAGGAUAAAUAUUUUCUUUUCAUUUGAUAAGUUUUGAAGCAGACUUAAUGAAAGAUUAAAUUCAAUUUCUGAGGUCAUAUAGCUGGCUAAACCAAGGAUAAAAUCAGGGUCUGGGUAAAUUGCCUUCAACUCUGACCAGAUUUGCAUUUUGCAUUAAAGAAAAUGUUUCUAUUUCAAUAACCAUUUUUAGAGAAACUUGUAAUGAGCCUAAUUAAGUAAUAGCCAGAGUCCAGUCUCUUUCAGAAAUACAAACCAAAAUAUUACCUGAACCCCUGAGUUUUCAGAGAUCCAAUAGCAGAGAAGUUGAGAAAAUAUAGAGACAGAGAGUCAGUCUGUCCUCACUACUAGACAAAGCUCUCAAAGCCCAUACCCAUACAGAAUCAGUGUCUCCACUUCCUAUUCAUGAGAAAUAAUAUAAAACAAAGCCCUUUAUACUUAUUUGGGCAAAUCUACAGUAUCCCUUGAGUUCCAGUCUGUGACUAAGCAAGAAAACUAUUAGUAGAAAUAAUUUUUUUUUUAUUACUAAAACUGCUCUUGACCUCUAGACCCUUUCUGGCCUUCACUUCAGAAUUGUGUGUGUGGCACAUGAAUGAAAAUCAGAGGAAAAUGCAAGGUCAUCAGGCAAUGACAGAAAGCAAAACAGUAUCUGAGAGAAGAAAGAUGCCAAAGCAAAAGCAGUUCUGCCCUCAUUAGAUAAACAAUCUUCCUCAGUUCCUCUCUUCCCCAUUAUAGUGACUGACAAGCAUUGCAUCAUCUCAGAGAGGAGAGAGAUAAGCAAUCAGGGAUCAGGGAAAAAGCAAGUGUUUGGGGAAGAUUUUAGUACCUGGCUGUGUGAUUUCUGGCUUUCUCAAAUAUGAACACAAAGAAGGGGUGUGGGAAAAAUGCUAGAAACAUGAAUCUUUUGGGUACCAACAAUUCUUUAUUUGAAAAUAGACCCUACAGACCCUUUCAUUUGUCCUCUAAAUUGAUAUUAAAACAGGUAUCUGGUAUUCUGGUUUUAGUUUGAAGGUAUGGAGAGUUAGAAAGAGCCUCAUUCACACCCUCACACAAGAAAAAAGCUGAGCAAAGUGCAAAGUAACAGCUUUUCUGAAUGCAUGGGAGAAUUCAGUGGCAGGGCACCUCACUAACCCUAAAUCUAAGAAAGACAGGUGCCUCAGGAGAGACAGAUCUUGAGUAUUUGCUUACUUGGGAUGAAAUAGGCCAAUUCAGCUAACAACUUUUAGUGAAUUGUGGAAGACUGGGUGUGAGAGAGAGUGAGAGUAUGAAGUCCCUGUGGAUUACAUACAUAGGGGUGUUUUGUUUCAUUUUGAAGACUUUUUAUUCCAUGUAUCCAACCAGGAAGUCACCAGGAGCACCAGGAAGAAUAUUGAGAUAGCUCUCCUGGAAUUUGUGAGGUUGGCUGGGGAAGAGGAACAGCAGCCACUGAGGAAACACUGCCUGGACCAUCAUUCCUCUCUCCUGACGGAAAAAGUCUCAAGACAUUGGUGGAAACUCGCAAGAGCUGUAGAAGAGGAAUGAGAGAAAAACUCUGCUCCUAGAGAGUGAACAAGGAUAUGUGUUAGCUUAGCUCCACAGGGAUGAAGGGGCAGGAAAAAUUGUGAGAGCCUCACCCUGACAUAGUGUUUGUCUAAGACCAGUGCUUAAUCAGAACAUUAUAGAACAUCCCCCUCUCCCACACUCCUCUAGCAGACUAACAAGCAUAGAAUAAAGACAGCAGUAGAAUACAGUUGGGAGAGAUACAAGAUACAAACUAUCUCAGGGUCAAAGCACAAAGGAUAACACACAAAGCAAAGGUAGGGUUCAGACAUUGAGAAAAUAACCUUUGGGAAUGCAUCCAGCACCCUAAAACAUAAGUAAUUGCUGGAGAGAUAUAAAAUCCAUGGUCUCUGAGGGUACUAAUAAGACCAGCACAACUCAAACACAACAUAACUCCUGACUAUAUUAAAAUAAACCCCCACACAAAAGAUGUAACACUAGGAAAAUCAUGCUCAUCUCCAAACAUGAGAAAAAGAUUUACCUGAGUGUCUUCCAUCUUACAUAAGAUCUCUGACUUUCAAUAAAAAAACAAAAACAAAAACACGUAAUCCAUACAAAGAAGCAGAAAAUAAAAACAAUCUCAAGAGACAAAAUAAUCACCAGAACCAGAAUCAGAUAUGUCUCAGAUGUUAAAAUAAUCAGACAGGCACAUUUUAAGUAAAUGUUAUAAAUUUUUUUUUAAAAAGUUCUAAUGCAGAAGGUAGAUAACAUACAUCAGGUGGGUGACUACAGCAGAGAGAUGGAAACUUUAAGAAAGAAUCAAAUGAUCGUGCUAAGAAUGAAAACCAUAUUGGGGCACCUGGGUGGAUCAGUUAGUUGUGUCCAACUCUUAAUUUCGACUCAGGUCAUGAUCUCACAGUUGGGGGGGUUCAAACCCUGCAUUGGGCUCUACACUGACAGUGCAGA